GGAGGCUUAUUAUUGUAGAUGCCAAAUAGAAGUGGAAGAUUCAAAUAAAGUUGGCUUGUGGGUUUCGGCUUAGUUGGGAGACGAUGUCGGGCCGCAAGGGUUUGGGCUAGGGCGGGGCGAAGCGCCACCGCGAGGUGCUCCGCGAUAACAUCCGGGGGGCAUCACGAGGCCCGCGAUCUGGCGCAUCACCGGCCUGGGAGACCCGCGGGCCCCACAACAUCAUUCUCGCUUACGUGAUCUGUGAUGCUGUCACCUACACUGAACACGCCCGGCAGAAGACCGUCACCGCCAUGGCCGUCGUGCGUGCGUGCCCCGAAAAGGCAGGGAAAGACUCUCUACGAGUAUGGCGGUUAGGGUUUCAUCACAAUUAAAAAGUCUUGCUGUCGAGAAAAGAGGAAAGAGAAAAAAAAAUUGAAUUGGAGGUUGUGUGGGGAAAGAAUUUGUUGCUCCCAAGUGUUGUUGGAAUUGCUAAUCUGGGGUUUUACUUGGUUUUCUGCAUGUCGGUGCUUUUAGUUGUUGAUACUGGAAUUUUUUUGUGUAUAAAUACUGAUGUGGGAUCGAUGCUUAAUUAUUUUUGCUUCUGUUGGAUUAUAAUAACUUGUUUUGAGCUCUUUUUUUAAUAGCUGUUGCAUCUUUCUUGCAGUGCGUGCGAUGCUACCUUUGAUCUCUUAUGAUAUGUUGUCGGACACCUUUUGCUACAAGUUAUGAGAUUUGUUGGAUCCUCAUUUCAUUGGUGUCGAGGGUAAGGCUUGGUAUCUUGGUGAAACUGUAUAUCAUGAUCGAUUAAUAUUAUGCUCCUUUCCCAUUGUUCAUAGGUAGGGCUUUCUACGUUGAUCCACACUAAAACUGUAUAUGCAGGAGUCUUGUGUAUUAGGCUUGUUCCUUGUAUUUUGCUGCCUGUUCCCACUUAAUUCUUGCUUAAAUUAUUUGCAUCUAGUCAUCCUUUGUGGUUGUUUCAUUGAAUAGUUUGGAUUGCCUUGGUUCAAAUGUUUCUUGAAAAUAAUGUUCUGACUACUCAGAGUUUAGUAGUAUUAAUAACUGGUAUAUGAGAUCUGUUAUAUCAGAAAAAUAAAAUUAAGAAUCCAUAUCAAAAGCUGAUGCAUAGUUUGUUUAGUUCCAUGUGCUGCAGGUUAUUUGCUGACUGUUUCUGAACUAGGAUGAAUUGUAUCAGUGGCUUGAUUCAUGAGGAAACUCUAGGUGUUCUUAGCAUGUUCCCCAACAAGGGUGCAGAUGGGUGGUUGGCUGGUGGGAAUCGAGAAAACUUUAUGUUUACAGUCACAAUGAUCUGACUAACUGAUUCUUGAUUUGUUAAUCUGUAAAUUAUAUUCAGAUGUUGAGGGCUUUGAAAUGCAUCAUCUUAUCUGUUUGUAUGUCUAUAUAUGUACUUAUCCAGGCUUUUGCAUAUCAACAUAGGACCACAUCUACAU